CGUGGGGAACCUGCCCCAUAGUCUGGGAUACCACUUGGAAACAGGUGCUAAUACCGGAUAAGAAAGCAGAUCGCAUGAUCAGCUUUUAAAAGGCGGCGUAAGCUGUCGCUAUGGGAUGGCCCCGCGGUGCAUUAGCUAGUUGGUAAGGUAAAGGCUUACCAAGGCGAUGAUGCAUAGCCGAGUUGAGAGACUGAUCGGCCACAUUGGGACUGAGACACGGCCCAAACUCCUACGANAGGCAGCAGG
rnacentral:rRNA from 1 species